CAGGGGAGACUGGAAUUCCUGGUGUAGCGGUGGAAUGCGCAGAUAUCAGGAGGAACACCGGUGGCGAAGGCGGGUCUCUGGGCAGUAACUGACGCUGAGGAGCGAAAGCGUGGGGAGCGAACAGGAUUAGAUACCCUGGUAGUCCACGCCGUAAACGGUGGGUACUAGGUGUGGGUUUCCUUCCUUGGGAUCCGUGCCGUAGCUAACGCAUUAAGUACCCCGCCUGGGGAGUACGGCCGCAAGGCUAAAACUCAAAGAAAUUGACGGGGGCCCGCACAAGCGGCGGAGCAUGUGGAUUAAUUCGAUGCAACGCGAAGAACCUUACCUGGGUUUGACAUGCACAGGACGUCGGCAGAGAUGUCGGUUCCCUUGUGGCCUGUGUGCAGGUGGUGCAUGGCUGUCGUCAGCUCGUGUCGUGAGAUGUUGGGUUAAGUCCCGCAACGAGCGCAACCCUUGUCUCAUGUUGCCAGCGGGUAAUGCCGGGGACUCGUGAGAGACUGCCGGGGUCAACUCGGAGGAAGGUGGGGAUGACGUCAAGUCAUCAUGCCCCUUAUGUCCAGGGCUUCACACAUGCUACAAUGGCCGGUACAAAGGGCUGCGAUGCCGCGAGGUUAAGCGAAUCCUUUUAAAGCCGGUCUCAGUUCGGAUCGGGGUCUGCAACUCGACCCCGUGAAGUCGGA
rnacentral:rRNA from 1 species